rnacentral:rRNA from 1 species
GACAGAGGAGCCAAGCGUUGUCCGGAUUGACUGGGCGUAAAGCGCACGUAGGCGGAUUUGUAAGUCAGGGGUGAAAUCCCGGGGCUCAACCUCGGAACUGCCUUUGAUACUGCAAAUCUCGAGUCCGGAAGAGGUGAGUGGAAUUCCUAGUGUAGAGGUGAAAUUCGUAGAUAUUAGGAAGAACACCAGUGGCGAAGGCGGCUCACUGGUCCGGUACUGACGCUGAGGUGCGAAAGCGUGGGGAGCAAACAGG